UUCAGACGAUGCGUCAUGCAUAUCAAUAAGCGGAGGAAAAGAAACUAACAAGGAUUCCCCUAGUAACGGCGAGUGAAGCGGGAAGAGCUCAAAUUUGAAAUCUUAAAGGGUUUCCCUUUACGAAUUGUAGUUUAAAGAAGUGUUUUCUGUUGAGGUUUUGGUAAAAGUUCUUUGGAAUAGGACAUCAUAGAGGGUGAGAAUCCCGUAUUUGACCUUUACUUUCAACUUUGUGAUACACUUUCAAAGAGUCGGAUUGUUUGGGAAUGCAGUCCAAAAUGGGUGGUAAAUUUCAUCUAAAGCUAAAUAUUGGCGAGAGACCGAUAGCGAACAAGUACCGUGAGGGAAAGAUGAAAAGAACUUUGAAAAGAGAGUUAAACAGUACGUGAAAUUGUCAAAAGGGAAGCGUUUGACACCAGUGUUGUUUUUCUGAAAAUCAAUUAAAGAACUGUUUAUGCUAAGCUGUUUAGACUUUAUCAGCUAACUGUUUAGUUUUGAGCUUUUCUUUAAUGCACUUUUCAGUUAACAAGUCAACAUCAAUUUCUUUUGCUGUAAAAAAGCUUGAGGAAGGUGGCUUGAGAUUCGUCUUAAGUGUUUAUAGCCUCUUGCCUAUGCAGUCGGAGAGAUUGAGGUCUGCAGCGUAGAUCCUUCGGGGCUAAAUGCAUUUGUGCUAAGUUAUAGCAUUUCAUAGACAACUUGUUGACUAUGAUUUGUCUUGUAGCUUACUCGCUUAUGUUAUUUUACCUACGCUUAGGAUGUUGAAUCUGUGCGAGACUAC
rnacentral:rRNA from 1 species